AGUAUACUUUGCGAAAGUUAGGCCAACUCUGAUUAAUAGAGAGACACCGAGGGACAUAUUUUUCUUAUCAACCCAAGGAAGGAAGAUUCACGUGGAGAUAACGUGUCCAAUGAUAUUAAUCGUUACCACAGAAAGUAUCUUGUUCCCGAAAUUUCCAGCCAAGUUGUCAGGAGGGUCUGUGAGAGCUGGACUACCAAAUAUUUGUCCCUCAGUAAUAUAACAGCUGAGAGGAGCUACAGGGAAAAGACGCUGACAGACCUAUGCCACGCCUGUGAACUGGUCACACAAGCCGGUACUGAGAGCAGUGAUGAGUCCCGACCCAGUAAUUUAUUUCCUGAGGGGAAAUAAUACAUACUUUGUAAUAUUGCACAAUUGGCCAAUUUUAAUAUUGCACACUUUCUAUCUCUCUCCAAAAGAACUGGGCAAACAUUGUCACAAGUAACUGAGGAGGUAGGGCAAAAAGAAAUCCAGGGUGUCAAAAACUCUCAGGAGCAAGACAACUGUGGUGAUAACAGCAGAAGUGGUGACCAAUCAGAUAGUUCCCACAAUACUACCAGUGACUCCCUAAGUGACGCAGAUGACAAUUUCUGGACUACAAGAGACAAAGUACCAGCGUCAAGAAAUUUUACAACCAGGGCAAUGAGGCAGAGGCAGAUGGGAGAAGGGAUCUCCUCCAAAAAGUCCUGAAGAGCCACUAGCUGUAUAUUAUUUAUUUCUUAAAUUAGUACCACUGAACCUAUAUGACGUUCCCCAUCUUCUUCAAGCCAGACACCAAGCAGGGUACAUAUCUGCGCAGCUAAGGCUACUUUCACACUAGCG